GAUGAAAGCUCCGGCGGAGAGGGAUGGGGAUGCGUUCCAUUAGGUAGUAGGCGGGGUAAUAGCCCACCUAGCCGACGAUGGAUAGGGGUUCUGAGAGGAAGGUCCCCCACAUUGGAACUGAGACACGGUCCAAACUCCUACGGGAGGCAGCAGUGAGGAAUAUUGGUCAAUGGACGGAAGUCUGAACCAGCCAAGUCGCGUGAAGGAUGAAGGUUCUAUGGAUUGUAAACUUCUUUAUACGGGAAUAAAACCUCCCACGUGUGGGAGCUUGUAUGUACCGUAUGAAUAAGCAUCGGCUAACUCCGUG
rnacentral:rRNA from 1 species